CUCAGCCUCCAAAGUAACUGGGACUACAGGUCCACACCACUAUGCCUGGUCCAGAGGAUCUACUACCACAGAACCAUUCGAGAUGUGAGUUCCCAGUGUGAAAGGACUGGGAGUUAACAGAAGAGCCACAGUGAGGUCUCUGAUGGCAAACACUGCAUCUGUUUAGAGAUAGUCAUAUCUCCAGCACCUGGCCCAGAAGGCCUUCAACAUGUGUUGCAGAAACAAAGAGGGGAUGAGGCACGGAGCUCCUGAAGUUGGAGGAAGCAGAGGCCACGUGGGGAGGAAAAUGACAGCAAAUACGAAGCACUCACUCCAGAGAUAUAGGGGACAACAAAAGAAUCCCUCUGGGUCCAAAACAGAAAAUGAAAGUGAGGAAGACGGCUGCGAAUAACAUGACAGAAUAAACUUCCCCUCAUUCUCGAUAUUUGUAAGACAAUAGGGAAUAGUGGGGAUAUUUAAUGACCUGAAGAAAGGAUGACCCGACCCCCCUAAAGACAGUGGAUGGAACUUAGCUCCGAGUAAUAUUUGGGAGGAAGAAAGAAGAGGCCAAUAGGACUAGACCUUGAUUUCUUCAAGAAAAGCUAGAAAUCUAAAUGUUUUUGUGAAUUCUGCUUAUUUUUAAUGCUGGAAACUAAAUCAAAGUGUUUAAAACAUUGUAGUGGCCAAUAUUGAAUGAGCUAAACAUACAUAUCUGGGCUGCCACUUUGUGACCCAUAUGCUGUUGUGAAAACCUCUAUUGUCUUUGCAGAUUUUCCUAGUGGCAAAAUCUCCUACAAGUAUAAAGUCACAGUAACAUAUAACUACUUCUCAGCACCCACUCCCACCAUUUGGAAAUCUAGAUGGUUUAACAUUCAACUUUUCCAAGAACACAAGAAUAUCAAGACUAUUGUUCUGAAUUCCCUUGCAAAUCCAUGUUGGUUCGAUAAUCUCCCUUUUAAUAUGCCCAACUUAUUUCAUUCAUUAAUUUACUUAAACAAUUGAGUGCCUACCCUGUACCAGAAACUGGCAUAAAAUUGUAAGUAAUGUGGACAUGUUCUUGGCUUCCUUGGGCUUCUGUGUCAUGAGGGAUCUAGAGAGGUAGUUACAGAGUCUCGCUGUGUCCCCACCCAAAUCUCAUCUUGAAUUGUAGUUCUCAUAAUCCCCGCUUGUGGGA